CGCCAGACUCCUACGGGAGGCAGCAGUGGGGGAUAUUGCACAAUGGGGGGAACCCUGAUGCAGCGACGCCGCGUGGGUGAAGGAGUAUUUCGGUAUGUAAAGCCCUAUCGGCAGGGAAGAAGCAAGACGGUACCUGACUAAGAAGCCCCGGCUAACUACGUGCCAGCAGCCGCGGUAAUACGUAGGGGGCAAGCGUUAUCCGGAUUUACUGGGUGUAAAGGGGGCGCAGACGGCGAUGCAAGCCAGGAGUGAAAGCCCGGGGCCCAACCCCGGGACUGCUCUUGGAACUGCGUGGCUAGAGUGCAGGAGGGGCAGGCGGAAUUCCUGGUGUAGCGGUGAAAUGCGUAGAUAUCAGGAGGAACACCGGUGGCGAAGGCGGCCUGCUGGACUGCAACUGACGUUGAGGCCCGAAAGCGUGGGGAGCAAACAGGAUUAGAUACCCCAGUAUC
rnacentral:rRNA from 1 species